rnacentral:rRNA from 1 species
AACUUUCAACAACGGAUCUCUUGGCUCUCGCAUCGAUGAAGAACGCAGCGAAAUGCGAUAAGUAAUGUGAAUUGCAGAAUUCAGUGAAUCAUCGAAUUUUUGAACGCACCUUGCACUCCUUGGUAUUCCGAGGAGCAUGCCUGUUUGAGUGUCAU